AUUGAACGCUGGCGGCAUGCUUUACACAUGCAAGUCGAGCGGCAGCGGGAAAGUAGCUUGCUACUUUUGCCGGCGAGCGGCGGACGGGUGAGUAAUGCCUGGGGAUCUGCCCAGUCGAGGGGGAUAACUACUGGAAACGGUAGCUAAUACCGCAUACGCCCUACGGGGGAAAGCAGAGGACCUUCGGGCCUUGCGCGAUUGGAUGAACCCAGGUGGGAUUAGCUGGUUGGUGAGGUAAUGGCUCACCAAGGCGACGAUCCCUAGCUGGUCUGAGAGGAUGAUCAGCCACACUGGAACUGAGACACGGUCCAGACUCCUACGGGAGGCAGCAGUGGGGAAUAUUGCACAAUGGGGGAAACCCUGAUGCAGCCAUGCCGCGUGUGUGAAGAAGGCCUUCGGGUUGUAAAGCACUUUCAGCGAGGAGGAAAGGUUGGUAGCUAAUAACUGCCAGCUGUGACGUUACUCGCAGAAGAAGCACCGGCUAACUCCGUGCCAGCCGCCGCGGUAA
rnacentral:rRNA from 1 species